AGCGGCGGACGGGUGAGUAACACGUGGGUAACCUGCCUGUAAGACUGGGAUAACUCCGGGAAACCGGGGCUAAUACCGGAUGGUUGUUUGAACCGCAUGGUUCAAACAUAAAAGGUGGCUUCGGCUACCACUUACAGAUGGACCCGCGGCGCAUUAGCUAGUUGGUGAGGUAACGGCUCACCAAGGCAACGAUGCGUAGCCGACCUGAGAGGGUGAUCGGCCACACUGGGACUGAGACACGGCCCAGACUCCUACGGGAGGCAGCAGUAGGGAAUCUUCCGCAAUGGACGAAAGUCUGACGGAGCAACGCCGCGUGAGUGAUGAAGGUUUUCGGAUCGUAAAGCUCUGUUGUUAGGGAAGAACAAGUACCGUUCGAAUAGGGCGGUACCUUGACGGUACCUAACCAGAAAGCCACGGCUAACUACGUGCCAGCAGCCGCGGUAAUACGUAGGUGGCAAGCGUUGUCCGGAAUUAUUGGGCGUAAAGGGCUCGCAGGCGGUUUCUUAAGUCUGAUGUGAAAGCCCCCGGCUCAACCGGGGAGGGUC
rnacentral:rRNA from 1 species